AGCAAGCUGAACAGUUGCGGGUACAUUGUGAAAACAAGUGCCUGAGGAAAGUCCGAGCUCCGCAGGGCAAGAGUAGCGGCUAACGGCCGCCGGGGGUGACCCUAGGGAAAGUGCAACAGAGAUAUACCGCCGAUAUUUCGGUAAGGGUGGAAAGGUGAGGUAAGAGCUCACCGGCACACAGGAGACUGUGUGGCCAUGUAAACCCUAUUCGGAGCAACACCGCAGAGAAACAUUUUGUGCCGGCCCGGCACGUUUCGAGAAGGUGGCAUGAGCCGUGGUGGCAACAUCCGGCCUAGAUAGAUGACUGUUCAAGACAGAACUCGGCUUAUAGGUUUGGUC
rnacentral:RNase_P_RNA from 1 species